UACGGAGGGGCGAGCGUUAUUCGGAAUUAUUGGGCGUAAAGGGCGCGUAGGCGGCUUGAUAAGUCAAAGGUGAAAUCCCUCGGCUCAACUGAGGAACUGCCUUUGAAACUGCCAAGCUCGAGGCCGGGAGGGGGUAGCGGAAUUCCCAGUGUAGCGGUGAAAUGCGUAGAUACUGGGAGGAACACCGGUGGCGAAGGCGGCUACCUGGACCGGUUCUGACGCUGAUGCGCGAA
rnacentral:rRNA from 1 species